AGGACGAACGCUGGCGGCGUGCCUAAUACAUGCAAGUCGAACGGUCUUUCUAUGGAAGCUUGCUUCCACUGGGAAGAUAGUGGCGGACGGGUGAGUAACACGUGGGUAACCUGCCCAUAAGAGGGGGGAUAACAUCCGGAAACGGGUGCUAAUACCGCAUAGUUUUCUUGAUCGCAUGGUCGAGAAAGGAAAGACGGCCUUUGUGCUGUCGCUUAUGGAUGGACCCGCGGCGUAUUAGUUAGUUGGUGAGGUAACGGCUCACCAAGACGAUGAUACGUAGCCGACCUGAGAGGGUGAUCGGCCACAUCGGGACUGAGACACGGCCCAAACUCCUACGGGAGGCAGCAGUAGGGAAUCUUCCGCAAUGGACGAAAGUCUGACGGAGCAACGCCGCGUGAGUGAAAGAAGGUUUUCGGAUCGUAAAACUCUGUUGUCAGAGAAGAACAAGUCGGAGAGUAACUGCUCCGGCCUUGACGGUAUCUGACCAGAAAGCCACGGCUAACUACGUGCCAGCCGCGGC
rnacentral:rRNA from 1 species